UGUUUAGUGAGGUGGAUGGACUUCAAAGUUGCUUAUUUAAAAGUUGACAACGUGUUGACAAACAUUCACAACAAACGGUGUUAAAUCCCCUAGAGAAUGUGUGUCCCAUUCGGGAAGGAAUUCGAUGGGAUGCAUCAGGAGGAGGUCUCUUUAAGUUUCCAUUGAGGGAGGCUGCACUGUCACAUGAUGAACGUGAUAUAAUGAAACAGCGAACAGAAAAGCUACGCGUGUGUCCAUGACUACAAAAUAAGACCUUUAAGCGACGCAGCCGUCCAGUAAACGCCCCAUUUCGCGCAUCAGAGUUCGAGCUAUUGGAGCAGCACUACGGGUCUCGUUGCGCGCACCGGAUUGCACCUGCUGCCGCGCAGCAUACGCACUUCUUAUUGAUACACGCGAAGAUUUCAAGAGAGCGCACACAAAUACCUGUGUGCGUGAAGUAAUGUACGACUUAUUUAUGUGAUGAAUAUCACACUGUAAUCGCAAACUCAUCGCGCGCAGGAGAGCUGCUAUAAUGCGCUCUAAAGGAUCGAGACGAACAACAGCUCUUAAUACCAUCGUCAUCAUCAUCAUUACGCAAGAUAAAGCGGAACAGGCGCUUUGACGAUGAAGCAAAACUUCGCAGAACGCAAGAGCCGGCUGGAUGUCUCUGAGAAACACACUCCAAACAUCCAAAGCCUUCCCAUUAACCCACAACCGUUUAUAAUAUUCAAACAACUAAAUGCCCCUUUGUGUUCGAGCAAAACACUAGACCGCUGGUCCUUGUAGUUUAAAAGCCUUUAUUGAAACCCGGCUUUGUGAGAGAACCUUCCUCUCUUCUCAGGGCUUCUCAGUUUGGCAGGGAGAGUACAGAGAUGGCCGAUAUUUGUGCCCCGAGUUCCUGGUUCCCAACGUGUUGAAUGGGAGAGGAAUGCGCCCGGGCAAGCAAAGCUGGCAUGGACCCUGCCCGAGCUCUCCGCUGCCUAAUGUGAACUCAUAUCUCACUCAGGGUGCCGUGGACAAAGAGCAACUCUCCACAGGCGCAGUGUUUCGCCCCUACUAAAAACCCAUCCAUCUACCAGGACGGGGUCUGAGCGUGUUUGUGUGAGAGAGAGUUGGAGAGUCGCUGUGGUUUGGCUUUCAAAGUGACCAGCAUAAAGAGGAUACAUUUUCACAGAGUACUGACCCAAGCAUGACUUGGCAGCGGUUGACGAAAAUGCUCCCCGCCCAGAGCACAAGAUGUUUCUUAUGCAGAAAGCAUUGCAGAAGAAGCCGCUCCGUUGAUGUGAACUUUGACAGGAGAUUUUAAACGUUACAUGCUAAUAUAUGCGAUCACAUUUAUUUAUAGUUGUGUCAAGAAACCCAUGCCUCUGUCCGCCCAGAACUGUUCUUAUUUCUUACUCUGGAGUUUCCGUCAAUGAAGAAAACAAUGUGAGUAAGAAAUCCCGAGUUACAAGACUUCCUUUAACCAGUCAGUCAUGUAAUGAUGGUAAUGAGUCAUUUUGCACCGGACUGUUUUCUUCUGUUGUUUGGUCAAUUCCGAAAAUAUUGCUGCUGCUACAGGCGGUCCCUUUACAGGAGUUUUUCGUUGGUGAUUAAAAAUAAUUGUUGUAAAAACUUGCUCGGUGGUACAGCAUCUAAUAAAAGUACCAAUGCCAAGUGUUUGUUUAAGAAUCAAGAGCUGUUUGGGGCAAGAAAAAUUAAAUUCAAUAUUUUUCUUUCAACCCUUUCACACAAUCCUUAAGGAUGCUUUUACUCAUCUUGCAGUCCCAAAAAGAAAACACUUUUCCUUCUCAUUACAUCUGGCACUUAUAUGUCGUUCAGAUGUCUUUCCGUAAAUUGUACAAAAAUGUCUUCAGUCAGGCUAAACAGGCAUACAAUAUGCUGACUCAUGCUCUGAGCUAACAGCGAGAGAAGAGAUGCAGGCAAUUGCAUUACAGAGCUGGUCAACAAACGCAAUAGCCAAAGAUGCAUAAGCUCAGCAUGGUUUAUUUUAUUCAUUUGAAUGUGACCGAGUCGCUUAACACAGGUGUACAUAUCUGCUUGUUUAAUUUGUAUAUAUGAUUUAUGCAGAGGCGUAAUAAAUGUGAACAUUUCCUUUAACAAACAGCGAAAGCAGGACAUAUGAGAGGACAUACGCCCACAUGCCCGCACUCACAAAUAUGGCCAGAUAGUGCUUUAACCUUUCUUCCUUUUCCAUUUCUGUACUCACUAACAACAAAAUUCCCAAAUAUAUACUUCGAAGAAUGAACCCAAAUGAUAUCCACUGACCAGAAUGUCAUUAAGACGUAAGGGUCUGUAUAGUGCAUGUACUGUAUCUGUAUAUAUAGUUUCUCUUAAUCACAAAUAACUUUUACUUUGGUUCACAUUGUAUUAAUAAAUCUUAAUCAAAAUCAAAUGUUUGCAUAGCUUUAGACUUUUUAUUUGGUUCCAUAUCUGAAAUAAAACAAAGCACAAUAACUCCGCUUUGUCAUUACAUCUGUUUGCGAAUGCAUGUUUAAUAACUGGUAAAGUGUGAUUUUUUUAAAAGUGUUAAGAUGUUGCAUAAUUAAAAAUUACACACA